GCUCUCAAACAAACCUCCCUUUUCGCAACCUAACGACCCACCCACCAAACCGCUGUCCUUCCUCCGCCUUUAGCUUCGCUUAGGCCGCCGCACCGCCUCCGUUCAACCUAUUUCGAUGUCGCGGACAAGUUUCCGGCUCUCGCUUUUCCGAUCGGCGAUUGUGGAAGGAGAAAUCACAAUGAACAAUGUCGAGCAUCAAGAUGGCACCUGCGUUUGCAGCCACUGAUUCUAUCGAAUUUGAUUUUGCUUCACCGAAUUCAUGAGGAAGCUUCUGCCAUUUGGGAAAUUUGAAGGUAAAAUUAUAGCUUUGAAUCUAAAUGUUGAUUUCCUUGAAUUGGUGUAGUUAAAGCAUAAAUGAUCAUAUUUUAUUCUCUGAUCUGGUUUUGCAUGCUAGCUUUUAGGAAAUAUUUACUUUGUUCUUCAUUUUCUUCUAUAGCCACUCAAAUUGGGUACUCACUUCAAGAGUCCGAGUCGAGCAUGGAGGUCAUGCUUGGGUUAUUGCAUUGCCUUAAGAGGCAAAAGCUAGAGGAGCUCAAUGAGAGACAAGCUGAUAUUGAUUACAUUAAGAAAGACAUGAUUGCGGUGGAGUGACGUAGAGUUGAGCUAUACAGCCAACAACAGGGUAAGUUAGUGAGAUUGAGGCUGCUUGGUGAUGAACAGCAGAGAAAUGACAUUGUUAUAGUGCGCAAGAUGUGCAAGUGCAUAUGAGUUCUAUCAAUUUACAUAGCAACAAGGCGGUUGUAAACAAUGUGCAAACCCAUACGAGGCAUAUGCAGCCUGUAAAUCCACAAGGAGGACUGUCGGUGGCAAGGAAAAGGCGAGUCCAUUCACAGGUUAGCAAUGUUGUGAAGUGAGUUUUUUAAUAGCCUGGCCAAUUGUUGUGGAUGUUAAAGACCUUUAGAUUAUCCACUAUAUCUUUCCUUAUCAUGUUUGUUUCCAGAACAGGACUUGUACCUUAAUGUGACAUUAGAAAUGUGUGAUGUUAAGAGUUCCUUGUUGUGGUUAGGCCGAGGAGUUCUGCACUUCAGAUAGGCUACUAGCUAAACUUUCAUAGUAUCCUGAAUCAUUAUUUGGGGCUUUUCUUUUCCUGAUUUCAUCUCUUCAUAUUGCAACAGUACAACGACCUACAAGACUGUUACUUGCAAAAGCAGCAAAAUUUGAACAAACAAAUGGAUUAUAAUGCUGUGGAUGUAGAAGGUUAUAAUCUAGGCCUUGAAGACUUCUAUUAUGUACUAAAGGGAUUUACACAAUACAUGCACAAACUUAUAAGUAUCAGUUUUAAGUAUCUCUUAGUUUACCCUGUUUAGAUAUAGAUACUUACACCUUCUAGUUGGUAUUUGGUUACUUGAACCAGUUGAUUGAGAGUCAUUUCUGAACUCAGACAGGGUGAUAUUUUCCACUCUGCAAAUAUUGUGUCGACGUGAGUGCUUAUAUCAUUCCUUCUGUACUUUUAACAUGACAUGGACUCUUAAAGGUUGGAAUGCACAUAUGUCACACAAUCUUGAAAAUAAUUGUUGGAGAGAUUCUCCUUGCAUCAGCUGGUUAUGCUACAGUCUGUUAGUGUUAUGAAUCUCAUUUUUUGAACUGUGUUACAAUGUUGGAUGAAUAGGUUGUACUUACAUGUGCACGUGUUCUUUCAGUUUUGUUCAAAUCAGUAUAUGAAGUCUUCGUUUAAAUGCCAUGUUAUAUGG